rnacentral:rRNA from 1 species
UACGAAGGGGGCAAGCGUUGUUCGGAAUUACUGGGCGUAAAGGGCGCGUAGGCGGCUUAUCAAGUCAGGCGUGAAAUUCCCGGGCUCAACCUGGGGGCUGCGCUUGAUACUGAUUGGCUUGAAUGCGGGAGAGGAUAGUGGAAUUCCCAGUGUAGAGGUGAAAUUCGUAGAUAUUCGGAAGAACACCAGUGGCGAAGGCGACUCACUGGACACAUAUUGACGCUGAGGUGCGAAAGCGUGGGGAGCAAACAGG